UAAAAAGCUCGUAGUUGGAUUUCUGUUUUGAAUGUCCGGUCGGUCUAUUAAUUUAGAUGUGUACUAUGGAUGUUUGGAUCAUAUUUUGUGAGAGCCUGUUACUGUCAUUAAGUUGUCUGGUAAUAUGGACUUGCAUCGUUUACUGUGAAAAAAUUAGAGUGUUUAAAGCAGGCGUUUAGCUUUUGAAUACAUUAGCAUGGAAUAAUAAGAUACGACUUUGGUGGUCUAUUUUGUUGGUUUGCACACCAGAGUAAUGAUUAAUAGGGACAGUUGGGGGUAUUCAUAUUUGAGCGUCAGAGGUGAAAUUCUUGGAUCGCUGAAAGAUGAGCUUAGGCGAAAGCAUUUACCAUGGAUGUUUUCAUUAAUCAAGAACGAAAGUUAGGGGAUCGAAGAUGAUUAGAUACCAUCGUAGUCUUAACCAUAAACUAUGCCGACUCGGGAUUGGCAGUUGUUAAUUAAUGACAUUGUCAGCACCGUAUGAGAAAUCAAAGUCUUUGGGUUCCGGGGGGAGUAUGGUCGCAAGGCUGAAACUUAAAGGAAUUGACGGAAGGGCACCACCAGGAGUGGAGCCUGCGGCUUAAUUUGACUCAACACGGGGAAACU
rnacentral:rRNA from 1 species